rnacentral:rRNA from 1 species
CUUCCAGACUCCUAGGGAGGCAGCAGUGGGGGAUAUUGCACAAUGGGGGGAACCCUGAUGCAGCGACGCCGCGUGGGUGAAGAAGCGCCUCGGCGCGUAAAGCCCUGUCAGCAGGGAAGAAAAUGACGGUACCUGAAGAAGAAGCCCCGGCUAACUACGUGCCAGCAGCCGCGGUAAUACGUAGGGGCAAGCGUUAUCCGGAUUUACUGGGUGUAAAGGGGGCGCAGACGGCGAUGCAAGCCAGGAGUGAAAGCCCGGGGCCCAACCCCGGGACUGCUCUUGGAACUGCGCGGCUGGAGCGCAGGAGAGGCAAUCGGAAUUCCGUGUGUAGCGGUGAAAUGCGUAGAUAUACGGAGGAACACCAGUGGCGAAGGCGGAUUGCUGGACAGUAACUGACGCUGAGGCGCGAAAGCGUGGGGAGCAAACAGGAUUAGAUACCCCUGUAC